rnacentral:rRNA from 1 species
CCUACGGGAGGUAGCAGUGAGGAAUAUUGGUCAAUGGGCGUAAGCCUGAACCAGCCAAGUCGCGUGAGGGAUGAAGGUUCUAUGGAUCGUAAACCUCUUUUAUAAGGGAAUAAAGUGCGGGACGUGUCCCGUGUUGUAGGUACCUUAUGAAUAAGGAUCGGCUAACUCCGUGCCAGCAGCCGCGGUAAUCCGGAGGCUCCGAGCGUUAUCCGGAUUUAUUGGGUUUAACGGGUGCGUAGGCGGCCUUUUAAGUCAGCGGUGAAAGUCUGUGGCUCAACCAUAGAAUUGCCGUUGAAACUGGGAGGCUUGAGUAUGUUUGAGGCAGGCGGAAUGCGUGGUGUAGCGGUGAAAUGCUUAGAUAUCACGCAGAACCCCGAUUGCGAAGGCAGCCGGCCAAGCCAUGACUGACGCUGAUGCACGAAAGCGUGGGGAUCAAACAGGAUUAGAUACCCCAGUAGUC